CCCCUAGUAACUGCGAGUGAAGCGGGAAANGCUCAAAUUUAAAAUCUGGCAGUCUUUGGCUGUCCGAGUUGUAAUCUAGAGAAGUGUUAUCCGCGCUGGACCGUGUACAAGUCUCCUGGAAUGGAGCGUCAUAGAGGGUGAGAAUCCCGUCUUUGACACGGACUACCAGGGCUUUGUGAUAUGCUCUCGAAGAGUCGAGUUGUUUGGGAAUGCAGCUCAAAAUGGGUGGUAAAUUCCAUCUAAAGCUAAAUAUUGGCGAGAGACCGAUAGCGAACAAGUACCGUGAGGGAAAGAUGAAAAGAACUUUGGAAAGAGAGUUAAACAGUACGUGAAAUUGCUGAAAGGGAAACGCUUGAAGUCAGUCGCGUUGUCCAGGGAUCAACCUUGCUUUUGCUUGGUGCAUUUCCUGGUUGACGGGUCAGCAUCAGUUUUGACUAUUGGAAAAAGGUUAAGGGAAUGUGGCAUCUUUGGAUGUGUUAUAGCCCUUGGUUGCAUACAAUAGUUGGGAUUGAGGAACUCAGCACGCCGAAAGGCCGGGUUUUUAACCACGUACGUGCUUAGGAUGCUGGCAUAAUGGCUUUAAUCGACCCGUCUUGAAACACGGACCAAGGAGUCUAACAUGCCUGCGAGUGUUUGGGUGGAAAACCCGAGCGCGCAAUGAAAGUGAAAGUUGAGAUCCCUGUCGUGGGGAGCAUUGACGCCCGGACCAGACCUUUUGUGACGGUUCCGCGGUAGAGCAUGUAUGUUGGGACCCGAAAGAUGGUGAACUAUGCCUGAAUAGGGUGAAGCCAGAGGAAACUCUGGUGGAGGCUCGUAGCGAUUCUGACGUGCA
rnacentral:rRNA from 1 species